GUCAGGAUGGCUGAGCUGUCUAAGGGGCUGUGUUCAGGUCAUAGUCUCCCCUGGAGUUGUGGGUUCAAGUCCCACUUCUGACA
rnacentral:tRNA from 1 species